UUCCUACGGGGGGCAGCAGUGGGGAAUAUUGGACAAUGGGGGGAACCCUGAUCCAGCAAUGCCGCGUGUGUGAAGAAGGCCUGAGGGUUGUAAAGCACUUUCAGUGGGGAGGAGGACUAGGAGAUUAAGAGUCACCGAGUUGGACGUUACCCACAGAAGAAGCACCGGCUAACUCCGUGCCAGCAGCCGCGGUAAUACGGAGGGUGCGAGCGUUAAUCGGAAUUACUGGGCGUAAAGGGUGCGUAGGUGGUUAAAUAAGUUAGAUGUAAAAACCCUGGGCUUAACCUAGGACUGAGAUUUAAUACUGUUUAACUAGAGUAUAGGAGAGGGUAGUGGAAUUUCCGGUGUAGCGGUGAAAUGCGUAGAGAUCGGAAGGAACACCAGUGGCGAAGGCGGCUACCUGGCCUGAUACUGACACUGAGGCACGAAAGCGUGGGGAGCAAACAGGAUUAGAUACCCGAGUAGUCG
rnacentral:rRNA from 1 species